rnacentral:rRNA from 1 species
GUUCCAGAGGAGGACGAUUCCAGCCCCACAGUUGGGGAUGGGAGACACGGCCCCAAGAUUUCCUUACCGGGAGGCAGCAGUGGAGGAAUUUUCCGCCAAUUGGGCGAAAGCCUGACGGGAGCACAUACCGCGUGAGGGGAGGACGCUCUGGGUAGUAAUCCUCCUUUUCUCACGGAAUAAAAAAAUGAAGGUACUGAGGAAUAAGCAUCGGCUAACUCCGUGCCCAGCAGCCGCGGUAAUACGGAGGAUGCAAGCGUUAUCCCGGAAUGAUUGGGCGUAAAGCGUCCGUAGGUGGUUUUGUGUGUCUGCUGUUAAAGCGUGCGGCUCAACCCGCAUAAGGGCGGUGGAAACUACAAGGACUAGAGUACGUUCGGGGCAGGGGGAAUUCCCAGUGUAGCGGUGAAAUGCGUAGAGAUUGGGAAGAACACCGGUGGGCGAAAGCGCCCUGCUAGUCCGUAACUGACACUGAGGGACGAAAGCUAGGGGAGCGAAUGGGAUUAGAUACCCCAGUAGUCCUAGCCGUAAACGAUGGAUACUAGGUGUUGUCUGUAUCGACCCGGACAGUGCCGUAGCUAACGCGUUAAGUAUCCCGCCUGGGGAGUACGCAGGCAACUGUGAAACUCAAAGGAAUUGACGGGGGCCCGCACAAGCGGUGGAGUAUGUGGUUUAAUUCGAUGCAACGCGAAGAACCUUACCAGGGUUUGACAUGUCGCGAAUCCUGCCGAAAGGUGGGAGUGCCUUCGGGAGCGCGAACACAGGUGGUGCAUGGCUGUCGUCAGCUCGUGUCGUGAGAUGUUGGGUUAAGUCCCGCAACGAGCGCAACCCUCGUCCUUAGUUGCCAUCAUUAAGUUGGGAACUCUAGGGAGACUGCCGGUGACAAACCGGAGGAAGGUGGGGAUGACGUCAAGUCAUCAUGCCCCUUACAUCCUGGGCUACACACGUACUACAAUGCUACGAACAAUGGGCAGCAAGCUAGCGAUAGCAAGCAAAUCUCAGAAAUCGUGGCUCAGUUCAGAUUGUAGGCUGCAACUCGCCUACAUGAAGGAGGAAUCGCUAGUAAUCACAGGUCAGCAUACUGUGGUGAAUUCGUUCCCGGGCCUUGUACACACCGCCCGUCACACCAUGGAAGCUGGUCACGCCCGAAGUAGUUAUCCUAACCGUUCG